GGUUCCGUAGUGUAGUGGGAAGCUAUCACGUUCGCUUCACGCGAAAGGUCUCCGGUUCGAUCCCUGGACGGAACCA